rnacentral:ncRNA from 1 species
UAUCUGGUUGAUCCUGCCAGUAGUCAUAUGCUUGUCUCAAAGAUUAAGCCAUGCAUGUCUAAGUACAAACCUUAAUACGGUGAAACCGCGAAUGGCUCAUUAAAUCAGCUAUGGUUCCUUAGAUCGUCUCAUCCUACUCGGAUAACUGUGGAAAAUCUAGAGCUAAUACGUGCUUACAAGCCCUGACCUCACGGGAGGGGCGCAUUUAUUAGAUCAAAACCAAUCGGGCUUGCCCCGUCUGCUUGGUGACUCUGGAUAACUUUUGUGCUGAUCGCAUGGCCUCUGCGCUGGCGACGUAUCUUUCAAGUGUCUGCCCUAUCAACUUACGAUGGUAGGUGAUAUGCCUACCAUGGUUAUAACGGGUAACGGGGAAUCAGGGUUCGAUUCCGGAGAGGGAGCCUGAGAAACGGCUACCACAUCUAAGGAAGGCAGCAGGCGCGCAAAUUACCCACUCCGCACGGGGAGGUAGUGACGAAAAAUAACGAUACGGGACUCUUUUGAGGCCCCCGUAAUUGAAUGAGUACACUUUAAAUCCGUUAACAAGUAUCUAUUGGAGGGCAAGUCUGGUGCCAGCCCAGCCGCGGUAAUUCCAGCUCCAAUAGCGUAUAUUAA